rnacentral:rRNA from 1 species
GGCGAACGCUGGCGGCGUGCUUAACACAUGCAAGUCGAACGGAAAGGCCCUGCUUUUGUGGGGUGCUCGAGUGGCGAACGGGUGAGUAACACGUGAGUAACCUGCCCUUGACUUUGGGAUAACUUCAGGAAACUGGGGCUAAUACCGGAUAGGAGCUCCUGCUGCAUGGUGGGGGUUGGAAAGUUUCGGCGGUUGGGGAUGGACUCGCGGCUUAUCAGCUUGUUGGUGGGGUAGUGGCUUACCAAGGCUUUGACGGGUAGCCGGCCUGAGAGGGUGACCGGCCACAUUGGGACUGAGAGACGGCCCAGACUCCUACGGGAGGCAGCAGUGGGGAAUAUUGCACAAUGGGCGGAAGCCUGAUGCAGCAACGCCGCGUGCGGGAUGACGGCCUGCGGGUUGUAAACCGCUUUCGCCUGUGACGAAGCGUGAGUGACGGUAAUGGGUAAAGAAGCACCGGCUAACUACGUG